rnacentral:rRNA from 1 species
CUGGGGAAACCCAGGCUAAUACCGCAUACGUCCUACGGGAGAAAGGGGGCUCCGGCUCCCGCUAUCGGAUGAGCCUAUGUCGGAUUAGCUAGUUGGUGAGGUAACGGCUCACCAAGGCCACGAUCCGUAGCUGGUCUGAGAGGAUGAUCAGCCACAUCGGGACUGAGACACGGCCCGAACUCCUACGGGAGGCAGCAGUGGGGAAUAUUGGACAAUGGGGGAAACCCUGAUCCAGCCAUGCCGCGUGUGUGAAGAAGGCCCUCGGGUUGUAAAGCACUUUCAGCGAGGAAGAACGCCUAGCGGUUAAUACCCGCUAGGAAAGACAUCACUCGCAGAAGAAGCACCGGCUAACUCCGUGCCAGCAGCCGCGGUAAUACGGAGGGUGCAAGCGUUAAUCGGAAUUACUGGGCGUAAAGCGCGCGUAGGUGGCUUGAUAAGCCGGUUGUGAAAGCCCCGGGCUCAACCUGGGAACGGCAUCCGGAACUGUCAAGCUAGAGUGCAGGAGAGGAAGGUAGAAUUCCCGGUGUAGCGGUGAAAUGCGUAGAGAUCGGGAGGAAUACCAGUGGCGAAGGCGGCCUUCUGGACUGACACUGACACUGAGGUGCGAAAGCGUGGGUAGCAAACAGGAUUAGAUACCCUGGUAGUCCACGCCGUAAACGAUGUCGACCAGCCGUUGGGUGCCUAGCGCACUUUGUGGCGAAGUUAACGCGAUAAGUCGACCGCCUGGGGAGUACGGCCGCAAGGUUAAAACUCAAAUGAAUUGACGGGGGCCCGCACAAGCGGUGGAGCAUGUGGUUUAAUUCGAUGCAACGCGAAGAACCUUACCUACUCUUGACAUCCAGCGAAUYUGGUAGAGAUACCUUAGUGCCUUCGGGAACGCAGAGACAGGUGCUGCAUGGCUGUCGUCAGCUCGUGUUGUGAAAUGUUGGGUUAAGUCCCGUAACGAGCGCAACCCUUGUCCUUAUUUGCCAGCGCGUAAUGGCGGGAACUCUAAGGAGACUGCCGGUGACAAACCGGAGGAAGGUGGGGACGACGUCAAGUCAUCAUGGCCCUUACGAGUAGGGCUACACACGUGCUACAAUGGUCGGUACAAAGGGUCGCCAACUCGCGAGAGUGAGCCAAUCCCGAAAAGCCGAUCUCAGUCCGGAUCGGAGUCUGCAACUCGACUCCGUGAAGUCGGAAUCGCUAGUAAUCGUAGAUCAG